rnacentral:rRNA from 1 species
UCCCGGCGCCACAAGUGGUAUUCACGAUUAUUGAGUCUAAAGCAUCCGUAGCCGGUUUGUUAAGUUCUCUGUGAAAUCCGGCAGCUUAACUGUCGGGCGUGCAGAGAAAACUGACAAGCUAGAAAGCGGGAGAAGCAGGCGGUAUGCCCAAGGGAGCGGUAAAAUGUUUUAAUCUUGGGUGGACCUCCGAUGGCGAAGGCAGCCUGCUAGAACGCAUUUGACGGUGAGGGAUGAAAGCUGGGGGAGCAAAAGG